rnacentral:rRNA from 1 species
UACGUAGGUGGCAAGCGUUGUCCGGAAUUAUUGGGCGUAAAGCGCGCGCAGGCGGUCCUUUAAGUCUGAUGUGAAAUCUCGCGGCUCAACCGCGAGCGGCCAUUGGAAACUGGGGAACUUGAGUGCAGGAGAGGGGAGCGGAAUUCCACGUGUAGCGGUGAAAUGCGUAGAGAUGUGGAGGAACACCAGUGGCGAAGGCGGCUCUCUGGCCUGUAACUGACGCUGAGGCGCGAAAGCGUGGGGAGCGAACAGG